rnacentral:snRNA from 1 species
AAAUUGAUCUGGCUGAGACGUCUGUCACCCCAUUGAUCACCAGGUUUGUUCUGACUGGCUGGGCUAGUGUCCCCUUCCUCUGUCACUGCUCCAUAUGCGUCCCUCCCAAAGCUGCGCACUCAGUUGACGAGAUCGACCUUCCCUGGUAAAGGUAGUACUGUUCAUCAGUCAAGGGUAUAUGGUAGCUGUGCUCCCCUGCCAGAACCUCCAGACAAACUUCUUCAAACUAACUGCUACCUGAGAAGGAACUUCAGUAUUAUUUUUAAUUAAAAAUAAAAGAUAAAAGUAACUUU